UAUAUACUCCCUUCGUCCAGAAAUACUUGUCGUUAAAAUGAAUGUAUCUAGAUGCAUCCAUUUUCAUCCAUUUAUGCAACAGGUAAUUCCGGACGGAGGGAGUAUGUU
rfam:Triticum aestivum genome assembly, contig: Triticum_aestivum_CS42_TGACv1_scaffold_433285_5DL